GACGAACGCUGGCGGCGUGCUUAACACAUGCAAGUCGAACGGAAAGGCCCUGCUUUUGUGGGGUGCUCGAGUGGCGAACGGGUGAGUAACACGUGAGUAACCUGCCCUUGACUUUGGGAUAACUUCAGGAAACUGGGGCUAAUACCGGAUAGGAGCUCCUGCUGCAUGGUGGGGGUUGGAAAGUUUCGGCGGUUGGGGCUGGACUCGCGGCUUAUCAGCUUGUUGGUGGGGUAGUGGCUUACCAAGGCUUUGACGGGUGGCCGGCCUGAGAGGGUGACCGGCCACAUUGGGACUGAGAUACGGCCCAGACUCCUACGGGAGGCAGCAGUGGGGAAUAUUGCACAAUGGGCGGAAGCCUGAUGCAGCAACGCCGCGUGCGGGAUGACGGCCUUCGGGUUGUAAACCGCUUUCGCCUGUGACGAAGCGUGAGUGACGGUAAUGGGUAAAGAAGCACCGGCUAACUACGUG
rnacentral:rRNA from 1 species